UGAGCACUUCUUGAUCUUUCCCUAGCCUCAUCCAUAGCAUUGUUGAAACCCUGAGUAUCAACUAGCAGACCCCUCUCUUCUGCCAUCAACUGAGUCAAAUCUAAUGGAAAUCCAUAUGUAUCCCACAAGAUAAAAGCAUCCUGCCCACUCAAUAUCUUCCCUUGUACAUCCUGAGCGGCCUUCUUAAAUUUCUCGAUUCCCUUUAGUAAAGUUUUCCCAAAACUUGCUUCCUCCUCCGCAAUUAUCUCCCUAAUUCGCACUUCAUGUUGUUUUAGCUCUGGGAAGACAUCACCCAUCACUUUCACCACCGUACUCACAAGUCCAUUGAAAAAUCCUUCUUGAGCUUUUAAAACUUCACUUCCAUAUCGAACUGCUCGACGAAG
rnacentral:misc_RNA from 1 species